UACGUAGGGGGCAAGCGUUGUCCGGAAUCAUUGGGCGUAAAGAGCGUGUAGGCGGCCCGGUAAGUCCGCUGUGAAAGCCCGGGGCUCAACUCCGGAAUUGCCUUUAAGACUGCAUCGCUAGAAUUGUGGAGAGGUAAGUGGAAUUCCGAGUGUAGAGGUGAAAUUCGUAGAUAUUCGGAAGAACACCAGUGGCGAAGGCGACUUACUGGACACAUAUUGACGCUGAGGUGCGAAAGCGUGGGGAGCAAACAGG
rnacentral:rRNA from 1 species